rnacentral:misc_RNA from 1 species
UACGGAGGGUGCAAGCGUUAAUCGGAAUUACUGGGCGUAAAGCGCGCGUAGGUGGCUUGAUAAGCCGGUGGUGAAAGCCCGGGGCUCAACCUGGGAACGGCAUCCGGAACUGGGAAGCUAGAGUGCAGUAGAGGAAGGUAGAAUUCCGGGUGUAGCGGUGAAAUGCGUAGAGAUCGGGAGGAAUACCAGUGGCGAAGGCGGCCUUCUGGACUGACACUGACACUGAGGUGCGAAAGCGUGGGUAGCAAACAGG